UACGUAGGGUGCAAGCGUUGUCCGGAAUUAUUGGGCGUAAAGAGCUCGUAGGCGGUUUGUUGCGUCGGCUGUGAAAUCCCGAGGCUCAACCUCGGGUCUGCAGUCGAUACGGGCUAGCUAGAGUGUGGUAGGGGAGAUCGGAAUUCCUGGUGUAGCGGUGAAAUGCGCAGAUAUCAGGAGGAACACCGGUGGCGAAGGCGGAUCUCUGGGCCAUUACUGACGCUGAGGAGCGAAAGCGUGGGGAGCGAACAGG
rnacentral:rRNA from 1 species